rnacentral:rRNA from 1 species
UGCAGUCGAGCGCUCUCUUCGGAGGGAGCGGCGGACGGGUUAGUAACGCGUGGGAACGUACCCAGAUCUAAGGAAUAGCCACUGGAAACGGUGAGUAAUACCUUAUACGCCCUUCGGGGGAAAGAUUUAUCGGAUUUGGAUCGGCCCGCGUUAGAUUAGAUAGUUGGUGGGGUAACGGCCUACCAAGUCUACGAUCUAUAGCUGGUUUUAGAGGAUGAUCAGCAACACUGGGACUGAGACACGGCCCAGACUCCUACGGGAGGCAGCAGUGGGGAAUCUUGGACAAUGGGCGCAAGCCUGAUCCAGCCAUGCCGCGUGAGUGAUGAAGGCCUUAGGGUCGUAAAGCUCUUUCGCCUGUGAAGAUAAUGACGGUAGCAGGUAAAGAAACCCCGGCUAACUCCGUGCCAGCAGCCGCGGUAAUACGGAGGGGGUUAGCGUUGUUCGGAAUUACU